AUUGAACGCUGGCGGCGGGCCUAACACAUGCAAGUCGAACGAGUGGCGGGCGGGUGAGUAAUGUCUGGGAAACCGCCCGAUGGAGGGGGAUAACUACUGGAAAAGGUAGCUAAUACCGCACACCAUCGGAUUUGCCCCGAUGGGAUUAGCUAGUAGGUGGGGUAACGGCUCACCUAGGCGACGAUCCCUAGCUGGUCUGAGAGGAUGACCAGCCACACUGGAACUGAGACACGGUCCAGACUCCUACGGGAGGCAGCAGUGGGGAAUAUUGCACAAUGGGCGAAAGCCUGAUGCAGCCAUGCCGCGUGUAUGAAGAAGGCUUUCGGGUUGUAAAGUACUUUCAGCGAGGAGGCGUUACUCGCAGAAGAAGCACCGGCUAACUCCGUGCCAGCAGCCGCGGUAAUUC
rnacentral:rRNA from 1 species